GCAGCAGCCACGGGAAUACGAAGGGUGCAAGCGUUACUCGGAAUUACUGGGCGUAAAGCGUGCGUAGGUGGUGGUUUAAGUCCGUUGUGAAAGCCCUGGGCUCAACCUGGGAAUUGCAGUGGAUACUGGGUCACUAGAGUGUGGUAGAGGAUAGUGGAAUUUCCGGUGUAGCAGUGAAAUGCGUAGAGAUCGGAAGGAACAUCUGUGGCGAAGGCGACUAUCUGGGCCAACACUGACACUGAGGCACGAAAGCGUGGGGAGCAAACAGGAUUAGAUACCCGCGUAGUCCCUGUCUCUUAUAC
rnacentral:rRNA from 1 species